rnacentral:rRNA from 1 species
GACGAACGCUGGCGGCGUGCUUAACACAUGCAAGUCGAGCGGUAAGGCCCUUUCGGGGGUACACGAGCGGCGAACGGGUGAGUAACACGUGGGUGACCUGCCCUCAGCUCUGGGAUAAGCCUGGGAAACCGGGUCUAAUACCGGAUAUGACUCCAUGACGCAUGUUGUGGGGUGGAAAGCCUUGUGCGGCUGAGGAUGGGCCCGCGGCCUAUCAGCUUGUUGGUGGGGUGANGGCCUACCAAGGCGACGACGGGUAGCCGGCCUGAGAGGGCGACCGACCACACUGGGACUGAGACACGGCCCAGACUCCUACGGGAGGCAGCAGUGGGGAAUCUUGCGCAAUGGGCGAAAGCCUGACGCAGCGACGCCGCGUGAGGGAUGACGGCCU